AUAUUGGACAAUGGGGGAAACCCUGAGCCAGCCAUGCCGCGUGUGUGAAGAAGGUCUUCGGUUUGUAAAGCACUUUAAGUUGGGAGGAAGGGCUUUAGGUUAAUACCGUGAAGUUUUGACGUUACCAACAGAAUAAGCAUCGUCUACCUCUGUGCCUGAAGCCGCGGUAAUACAGAGGGUGCAAGCGUUAAUCGGAAUUACUUGGAGUAAAGCGCGCGUAGGUGGUUCAGUAAGAUGGGUGUGAAAUCCCCGGGCUUAACCUGGGAACUGCUUUCAUAACUGCUGAGCUAGAGUACGGUAGAGGGUAGUGGAAUUUCCUGUGUAGCGGUGAAAUGCGUAGAUAUAGGAAGGAACACCAGUGGCGAAGGCGACUACCUGGAAUGAUACUGACACUGAGGUGCGAAAGCGUGGGGAGCAAAC
rnacentral:rRNA from 1 species